CUCUUCAUGAGUACUAUAGAGCCCUUGCACACUUUGAGAACUCCAUUCUCUGCAUGGUAUCUGAAUCCAUGAAAGUCAAGUGUCCCAAGAGAAAUCAGGUUCCUCUUUAGUCCUGGAACAUGCCAACACUCUAUAGUUCUGACAAUGCCAUCAAACAUCCUCAAUUUGAUGUUACCAAUUCCUUCAACAGAUAAUGCAAGAUCAUUGCCCAGAAAUACCUUGCCACUCAUCUGUUUGUAAGUGACAAACCAGCUUUUGUGUGGACACAUGUUAUAAGUAGCACCAGUAUCAAGAAUCCAGGAAUUUUGUCCAUGAUCUGAACUCAUGGAUAAAAUAUCUCUAGCACUAUCAUCACCAUCAGAAUCAAUAAAACUAUCAACCACAUUUGCAGAACUUUCUGGUUGCUUUUCCUUUUUAUUUUUCAACUUGGGACAGUCUCUCCUAUAGUGACCUUGCUCCCCGCACUCAAAACAGUUAGCCUUUUUCAUUCUUGACUUAGAUCUGGCCUUAGAUUUCUUCCUGCUAGAAGAACCCUCCCUUGAAUGUGUUCUUCCCCUGCUCACCAAACCUUCCCCCUCAAAUCUUUCUCUAUUAUCUGGAAAUUUCUUUUUCAACUCCUUCGAUUUUAGAGAAUUACUAACAUCGUCUAGUGAAAUACUGUCUUUCCCAUAUAAUAGAGUAUCAACAAAAGUUUCAUAGGAGGGUGGCAAAGAACAUAACACAAUAAGGGCCUGAUCCUCACUAUCAAUCUCAAUAUCAAUAUUCUUUAGGUCCAUAAUGAUUGAAUUGAAUUCAUCCAGAUGUUCUUUAAUGGGCGUACCUUCUCUCAUUCUCAUAUUGUAAAGCCUUUUCUUUAGAUACAGACGGUUGAUUAGCGAUUUGGCAGAGUACAACUCCUCUAAUUUCUUCCAUGCCGCAGAUGCUGAUCUUUCACUAGCAAUCUCGCGUAGGACAUUAUUAGUUACGCUCAUGAAAAUUACACUCAAGGCUCUCUCCUUUAGAUCAACCUUCUCCGCCUCUUUCAUAUCUUCUGGAAAGUUAUCCUUGAUUGCCUUCCAUAGACCUUGUAGGAUCAAGGAAGAUUUAAUUUUAAUAUUCCACAGACUGAAACUCGAUCCACCAUCAAACUUCUCUAUCUCAUACUUCGUUGAAGACGACGCUAUCUGUAAACCCUAGGUUUUGCGCAUAAAGCUCUAAUACCAGUUUGUUAUAACAAGCACACAAAUCUAAGGCACACACACAAAUCACACAAUCACACAAUAUUGAAAAGAGAAUAAGAAUAACACAGAAUUUAACGUGGUUCAACCGUAAGGUCUACGUCCACGGGCAAAACAAGAGAAAAAAGUUUCACUAUGAUGAAAAAAGCAAGAUACAAUCAAUCAGAACUUUCAAAACCUAACCCCAAUGUGUUUUUUGAAUAUCUCGCAACUCUGCCGCAAAGGGUAAAAUAUUACAAUAUUUAUAUUGGUCCACACUGCGGGGGCGUUGGCCUGUGUCCUCCACUACCAUCACAAAUCUCACUUUUUAUCUCAAUCGGGUCGCAGCGCGAAAACUUUCAGGUCGGAUCACAAUUCAGGUACAUGAAUAACAUAUCCAAAUUUCAAAGCCACAAAUAUAACAUAAUUUGAUCAUCUGCCUCAAAACAAUUCACGAGAUAAAAUGAGUGCGUUUUUACGAGCCAGUUCAAUAACAUGCCUCUAGACAGAGAUGGCAAAUAUGUUAAAAAAAAUUCCCCUAAAAUUAUCCUCCCCCACUUUCUUUUUGUUAUCUCUCUCGCUCUUCCACCAUGCCACCCUUUACUCUUUUUUUUUUUUUUUUUUUUUGAGAAAGGCGGUUUUUGUGUUGUACUACCGAAGGACCUGUAGAUGGAGACACCACCACCUUUGAAGAUGUUCUCUUCUCUUAUUCACUUGUGCUGGUGGCUAGGGAAGAUGUGGUGCGGCUGAAUGUGGUGCACCUUAAAAAUACAAUAAUGAUGAAAAAACACCGAUGGAGAACAGUAGAACUAAGGAGGGGCCUACAUACCAAGGUGAAAUUACCCCAACCUUAGUAAUCUUCUUUUACUUCCCUUUUUUGCCUUUGUAUUUCUGCCCUAUUCAUAGUUUUUCCCUUUUAUGCUCUCCAUCAAAAUGACUCCCAUCAAAAUCCAAUUGAUGUUAUAUUUCAAACCCCUUUUAUACCUUAAAUUAUUGAAUUAAUUAUUAUUUUCAUUGCCUUUCUGGACGUGUUUUAUAUAUAUAUAUUUUAACAAUAGCUAGGAUCUUUGUCCAAUUCAGAUUUUUGGAUUCAAUCUUGUUGCAGACGAUCUGAUAUUUUGGCAUUGGUUUCUUCUUGCUGUGAUUUUCACUUAAUUUGAUUGUUUAUGUUUAAUUUCUUUUAUUUGGGAUGUAGUUUUUUGUGCUUGAAAAUUGAAACUGAUAAAUGCCAAUGUUGCUUCAUAUGGACUAUUAAUGGCAUAUUGCUUUCUGGUAGACAUAAUGUCAAUCUCAAUGGUGCUUAAAAAAUGUUAUUUUUUUUAGCUUGUGAUAAUGAAAGAAGAAAAUUAAGCCUUGGCCAAAGGAUGCUCUUGAACAUAUAUUGCUAAAGAACUCCUUGAGACUCCUAAAUGGUUGAGAAUUCAUCUUAUGUGGCAUAAAGCUCCAACAUAAAACUAUAGUGAUUUAGGUGAUAGUUACACUUAUCGGUUGAGUGAUCAAGAGCGCACAGAAUAAAAUUUGAUUAAAUGCAUUUAGUAAUUCCCCAUAUUAGAUGGCUUGCAUUGGCCAUGGGCAAGCAAAAUUGUGAGGGAGUGUAUGUACUCCACAGGAAGAACAUAAAACUGAUCCAUUAUACUUCAAUAUUUAUUUCUUCAGGAAUUUUCUUUCGUAUUGAAUUAUCAUUUAAAACUCUUUUUGGAAUAACUGAAUUUUAUUCUUGUUUGACACUGACAUUUGAGCUUGCAUUUCCAGGUCAUAGUCUUUGAGAAAUUGAGGUGAAGAAUGCUUUGCUAUCCGCUAUGAUAACUUCUAUGGUAGCUUGGUCAUGAUUUCUUUAAUCUGUGUUGUUUGUGUAAUACUAUACUAACAGUGAUUGUGUCAUAUGGAAUUUUUUGUUUUUUUUUUUUUUUUUUUUGUCCUUUGUUACUGAUACUGUUGUCUAUAAUCAUUUUCAUCUGCAGGAGCCUUCUGUAUCUGUGCUGAAGGAUACAAUCAUCGAGGCUCUUUUGAUCUUGUUUAAUUACUAUCAUUUCUAUCAGCAAUUCCCUCAGUGGAUGUGGUUUUUGAUAAGCAAAAGAUAGCUGGUUGCUUUUAUCUCAUGGCUGCUGGUUUUGUUUUAUCAAGCAAUGUUGUAUUACAGGGUUCUACUUUGGGUGAUUUUCCUGCGCCAAUGUCACUGUGUGCCACAACAUCCUUGAUUGGUGUGGUUAUAAUUGCAAUUGUUCAAUGGUUUCAAAAUCCCAAUUUCGGAAUUACUUGGCCUCUCAUGAAACUUGGGGGAUCUCA